UCCGUAGGUGAACCUGCGGAAGGAUCAUUACUGAUUUGGCGGACCGAGCGUCAGCGAGGUUCCGCGAUCAUCUAUAUUUAAAACCCACACCUUGAAUUAUAUAUUUUGUAUUUUUUUGAUAAAAUAAAAAGAUCACUUUCAACAACGGAUCUCUUGGCUCUCGCAUCGAUGAAGAACGUAGCGAAGUGCGAUAAGUAAUGUGAAUUGCAGAAUUCCGUGAAUCAUCGAAUCUUUGAACGCAAAUUGCACUCUUUGGUAUUCCGAAGAGUAUGCCUGUUUGAGGGUCAGUUAAAUAAAAAUCGGUGUUGUUGCUGCCUUUCGUGGUGACGCUUCGGAUCUGGGUCGUCUUACCUUCGGUUAAGUGACCUAAAAUUUAGCAUGAUUUUUCGAACGUAUUUAAAUUAUUUACGUACGUUUGUGAUAUCGAACAUAUUAGAUGUGGUCAUUCUCGUGAUUCGCGUCUAUAAUUUUUCGUAAAAUGACCUCAAAUCAGGUAAGAGUACCCGCUGAACUUAAGCAUAUCAAUAAGCGGAGGAA
rnacentral:rRNA from 1 species